rnacentral:lncRNA from 1 species
UUCUCUUGCUCUGCUUUUAUUAUCUUUCAAGAAACCUCAAGUGGGAUUUGCUGAAAGCUCACACCUUUAGUCUUCAUAUCUAUAAAGUCAUUAACUUUCAAGAAAAAUACUUAAGGCGCUAAUCCACUUAUAGAUGGCUGAUUAGUUCAAAGAUGUUUUUUUUUUCUUUCAUUUCCUGGUUGAACCGACGCCGUUUAGUAGUCAGGGAUUUGCUUGAAGGAGGGUAUAGUAGAUCUUCUUCUUUCUUUCUCGCUUGCUUUUUUCGGCUGCGACAAACUCUGAAAAGAUGCAGGUAUCUUCUUACCAUGUCUUCUCUAAAGUUGUUGCAUUACUCUCUAAUCUUUUCAUCUCCGUAUGUAUCAUGUUCGUUGGCUAUUUAUCUUUUUAUUCGUUCACUGUUUUAGUAUCGAAAAGCCCUUAAAUUUGGGUUAUUUUUGUGCAGGCAAGUGACAGGUUUAACAUCAAUUCUCAGCUUGAGCAUCUUCAAGCUAAAUAUGUUGGAACUGGGCAUGCUGAUUUGAGCAGAUUGUAAGUUUCUUUGAACUAAAGUUUCAAUUUUUAAUCUGCAUUUCAAUUUUUGAUUCUUGGGUCCUAAUUUGUGGAAAUGUGGCAGUGAGUGGGCUGUGAACAUUCAGCGUGAUAGUUAUGCUUCAUACAUUGGCCACUACCCAAUGCUUUCAUACUUUGCUAUCGCAGAGAACGAGUCCAUUGGUCGAGAACGCUACAACUUCAUGCAGGUUUGCCCCUAUUUCAUUCCUCUAAGUGACAGAUGCACAGUUCAAAAUUUGGAUUUUGAUCCCUAUGUUAAGUUGAUUAGGAGUGUAUUAUAUGGUUAUCUUGCCUUAUCAUCAUAUUUUAGGCUAUGGUCUCACUCAAACGUUUGGAUUAUUAAUCGAUGUUCAGUCAAUAAGGAGUGUAUCAUAUGGUCUAUUGGCUUUGUCGUUAUCUUGUUUACCUCUUUGCUUUUUUAUUUUCAGAUUCAUUGAUUUGUUGUAUGGUUUUAGUUUUAGGAUGCUCCAGUUCUGUAGUUACAAGUAAGUUAGAGAAUCAUUAGAUUUAUGGUCUCGCUCAAAUGUUUUCAUUUGUCGUUGUUUACUGAAUUCUCAACUGAGUUCCUUUCACAAACAGUUGUGAGCUCGGUUGGCUUUCAGUUUAGUUCAUGAAACUGGUCUCUUACAGGGUUGAAUUGUGUGAUAGCGAUCUUUUAUAUACAUGGUGUUCCUGAGGAUUAAUCGAAAUGGAGUUAGCUUAAUAAUGGAGAAACGAAGACUAGUGAUGAGUUACAUAAUAGACUCUACCAUUAUGAGUUUCUUUUUUGUAUACCUAUGUUAAUUGAUUUCAUUAGGAAAGAAAAGAAAUGUGGAAAUAAGGCCAACUCUUUGGCACGGGAGUGGUAGAACCGCGCGUAAGAAAAUUGUGGAUGAUAAGAACUCAUAUAUUGUUGUUAUUGAACCAUUAGUUAAUGUGCUAAUGCCUUAUGUUACAAAGAGAAAAAUAUCGAUGACAGUGGUGCUCUCUGCUCAUUGACAUGGUUUCCACUUUUUGUAUGUGACGAUGUUAUGGAAUAACUUGAGAUGUCUUAUGAUUUGCAGAAAAUGCUAUUACCGUGCGGCCUUCCUCCAGAAAGAGAAGACGAUUAGGAAGGGCAGGAGGAUUUGAUUUUAUCUUUCUACUUAUUAGGAACUUUUCUGAUGGAAUGUUAGUUUGGAUUCAGAGUGUUAAACUGUCAAAAAUUUGUGCUGGUAGAGAUUUUGUUUGAUCUGAGUGUUUAAAAUAGUUGUUACUUUGAUGCAGCGAUAAAGUUUCACCCUCCAGUUAUCUUAUCUUGAACAAGUGAGAUGCUACGUGAUUUGACUUGAACUUUUUUAGCACAUAUACGUAAAGACGAGAAGCAAAAGAUUAAAACUUGGAACUGAUAAUAAAGAGACAUCAUAGUUGAAGAUGUAAUAAGCUUCAAAUGAUAUUAAACUGUUUCUUUUAGUAGAGACUAUACAUCGAUUCGAAGAUGUAAAGCUAUAUAUAUUACAGGACAAGAGUCAAGUGAAUGUUUUUCUUAUUUCUCUGUAUUCUUUAUCAGGGAAAAUCUUUCAUUGGAUCCUCAUGGUGAACUCUCUUCACUCUGUAAGCUUCCAUCUCUUCCUGAGUCACCUCAUUGUUGUAUUUGACAUUGUAUUUACGUUUCCUCUCAUCUUUUUCUUCCUUCUCACGCUCAUCCUCCUUCUUAAGAGCAUUAGCAAGCUCCUCCUUGUUCAAUACCAAAUUUUCAGGAAUAUCAGUUCCCAUGUGGCCAUUCUCUUCUCUUCAACCUUCUUUGGUCUCUCUUCAGAGGCUUCUUUGCGAGCGAGAUUAGCCUUCAUAAGAUCAAGAGCAGACUCUGCAGCUUCAAUACCAGCAGAGCCUGUGCAGUAACUGUUGCGAAUGGUCUGCUGGCAACAUUUAUAUCCCCAUUGAUGAUCUUUCCACCAUGAUCCCCAAACACUAGUGUGAUUGUUAACGUAAACGUCUUCUUCGUAUUUGCUCUUUGGCACUAUCACUAACUCAUGUCCCUUUAUAAUCCUCCCUGCUCUAUCAUACUCAACUUGUCUUUCGCUUUGUCCAAGCAAAAGCUCCAUAGGAAUCUCACCUUUUGUUGAAGCGUCACCAUAUUGUCUGAGAUUUCAGUCUUUCCUUUGCAGCCUUGAAAUUCUUGUAGAGCAACUCAGCUUGUGAUGGAGCUGCUUGCAUAACACUGUUUCGAUAAUGAUUAUCUCCCUGGUAAAAUUUCUCGUUCGGAUCUGCAUUCGGAAGCGGAUCUUCACGCAUGGAUCUAGUUUUAGGAUCAUAAUGAGCAGAGUUGAGAUCAAGAUUCAGCAGAUACUUGGCUGUGUCUUCCCUGAUACGUAGAUUCCUCACAGUUCCUGUGCUACCACCACCAGUUGUUCUAACACGCUUUUCAACCUUUGCAAAAUCCAUCUGCUUACUCUCAUCAACCUUGGCUUCAUCGACCUUCAAGCCAUCGUCAUCGUCCUCAUCAUUGGUUUCAUCAUUGUUGUUCUUCUUCUUCUCUUCUAGUUUCUUAAUCUGUUGCUCCUUGAGAUACUUCUUUCUUGCAUCCUCUCUUGCUUCAUAAAACUCAACUACACGAUGGUACUCUGAAGGAUCAUAGCCAUUCCACCUGUCUCUUUUUGCAUCGUAGCUAAGUUUAAGACUCUCGACUUUCUCAUCUGCUCGUAUGUUCUUGUUUGUGAAUCUUGCACCAACUUUACGAGGUCUCUCUGGACAUGAUUUCGCAUCAUGCGUCAUUGCACCACAGUUUUGACACGACCCUUUACGGUAUGUUUCUGCUUGGAAGAUCUUUGCACCUUUGUCAUACCAUAUCUUGGAGUUAGUGUCAUUAGGAUCAGUCUUUUUCUUCUUCCAAUUCUUUUGAUGUUUUAAACUCGGUUUUCAGAGUUGAGAUACCAUGGAGCAGAGGACAUAUACUGAGGAAUGUGAGGAUUGAUUUCUUUUCCAUCUUCAUCUACCUCGGCUGGAGCAAGCCCGGCUUUACGAGCUUCCUCUAAUUCGAUUUUCUUCUUAUGAUAUUUCCUAGACUUAAAAGCAACUGAAGACGUAGCCAUGAUUCGAUGGUAUAAAAGAAGAAGAAGAAGAAAGAGCUUGUGAACAAAUUGAUAUGUCAAAAAGAAAGAUCGAUCGAGAGAGUACUGGAUGAGUUUGUUAUACUUGAGAAACAAAAUAGAACUCUACAUCUCUUUAUAUAAUGCUUUACUUUACGAUGCCUAAUCCUUGUCUCCUAAGGAUUUUAUUAUGUUUCUUUCCUUUUUCCAUAUUAUCCUUUUCAGUAUAUUUAUGUAGGUACUGUAAAAUUAUAAACGAAUUAUUUAAUUGUUUUAUUAAGAGUCGUAUGAAUAUGUAAAAUUAGAAUCGAAUCAUGACCUAAAGUGGUUAGGGUAACGGAUCGAUACUUUUCUCCCUCUAAAAAUCUAGUUAGAGAAAACUCUCUCAAAACUCUUCAUCGUUUUCUUUUUGGCCAGUGACCGGUGUUUUCCGACGCCGGCACUGUGCUGUUAAUAUUUUUCGGAUAAUAAAUUCUGGUGAAUCCAGAUUUCUUAUAUCUAUAUUUUAUUUGUUUUUCGUUCUCCGACUAAGUUCGGUUUUUCUUUUCCGACUAUGGUCAGAUUUCCUUUUUCAACUAAGAUCGGAUGUUUCAUGCACGUUUCUCUUCCGCAUAUGAAUUCCUCUUAAAAUUGAGGUGGUUGUGAAUGAAUCUGGUGGUUUGCUUUGAGAUUUCUUCUUCAGCUUUGGGUUUUAUCCUCUCUUGACUGAGAGAUUAAGAUCUCUCUAAUUACUUUUUUAAAAGCCCGAUUGUGGCGUUGGGUAAAGAGUCUUGAGUUAAAGAUAACGAUUGUGAUUUUGAUUGGAGAAGAAAGUUCUGGCUAAAUUUCAAUCAGAUUCUAAUCGGAAGAGUCACUAAAGGAAAGAGAAGAUGCAGAGAUGUUUCUAAUGAAGCUUUCAAGCGGUGGAGAUGCGUUGAUGAUUGGCGGUGAGACCGUCGGUAAGAAAACCACCGUCGGCGGAGUUUACUACGGCGAUGCAACAUUUUUUCUCCUCAGAUGCCACAUGUCCCUGUAUUUUCUUUAGAUCAACACGUGUUUUUUACGUGUAAUUUUCUUUGUGUUGAUCCAGAUUGUAAUGGGCUUGAUGUGGGUUUUAAAACUCUUUGUAUACUUGCCUUUUCUUGGGCUUUCCAGUAAUGGAUAAGUUGACAAAAAAAAGGGUAACAAAUGAACGAAAACUGAUUAGUCAUGGACUCAUUGGCUAUAGGGUUCAAUAAAAUUAGGGAUUUGAUUGAUCAAGAAUACAAAUCUGUUAUUUGUUUGUUUAAUAUGUUUAAUGAACAAUGGUUGUGCAUUCUCUUUGCUUGUCAUCGAGAGAAAACAAAACCCG